AAAGGAGGAAGUGAGCGGAUGCUGGGCGGGUACGCAAUGUGGCACUCUUCCACGCCUUGUAGACCAUGUCUGGCAUCACCCUGUUCGAAGGAAUAAAUUCAAAUACCUGAUUGACCAUCCCGUCUCCCUCACAGGAGCUGGAAGGGAUAUUUCUUUUCUGUACGAUGUAACAUAUGCCAAAGGACAGACUAGGGAGAAGGCAGUUUGUCCCCCACAUUUGGCCCGUUCAUUACAGUCACAUGAUGGUGUCAUUGUGCCCCAUAAGCCAAAGACACUAACAGAUACUUUGAUUCCUGAAGAAUUUCAUAUUGUGUCAAGUACAGGAGUUUCAGGUUUGGAGUGUUAUGAUGACAAAUACACUACUCUCCUCACAGAUAGUGAAAACAGGCUAUUGCUCUUCCCAUCCAUGAAACCUAAUAAAAGAGUAGAAGUGGCCCAGCUGAAUGAUGUGAUGGAUACUAUGCUAGAGAGGGCUGGUGUGGAAAAUCAGGAAUAUACAGGACCAACGAAGAUGCACAAACUACUACAUAUAUUGAAGAAGGAACAGACCAUUUACAACAUGAUAUUUCAUGAACU
rnacentral:lncRNA from 1 species